rnacentral:rRNA from 1 species
UACGUAGGGUGCGAGCGUUGUCCGGAUUUACUGGGCGUAAAGAGCGCGCAGGCGGCCAAGUCAGUCGAAUGUGAAAGCCCCCGGCUUAACUGGGGAGGGUCAUUCGAUACUGCUCGGCUCGAAGACAGGAGAGGGAAGUGGAAUUCCCGGUGUAGUGGUGAAAUGCGUAGAUAUCGGGAGGAACACCAGUGGCGAAGGCGGCUUCCUGGCCUGUUCUUGACGCUGAGGCGCGAAAGCUAGGGGAGCAAACGGG